rnacentral:miRNA from 1 species
ACACACACACAUCUAUAUAUACACACAUACACAUAUACAUAUAUAUAUAUAUGUGUGUGUGUGUGUGUGUAUGUAUCAAUAAAUAAAGUGG